rnacentral:lncRNA from 1 species
UAUACUGCAUGUAUUCAUAUGUCUAUUUUACUUGCUCCGGAAGCAGAAGAGUAUUCUUCUACAGAAUAUGCCUCAAGGAAAUAAUUCUGUAUUUUUCUGCUCAUUAGUGAUGAAAUUUGGAAAAAGAAAAUAGAAGAGGUACCCCAUGGAAAACCUAAAUAAAGGGAUUUGUUCUUGCCCAAGUGCAAGUAAAUUUGCUUUGGAGUCUACUUAAUCAUCACUGUUAGCUGUUAAAUUAUUUUUUUCCCCACAAAGUGGUAGGGCACUGAGAUCCGCCCUUGUGGACCAGGUUUAUGGUUGCUUGAGGAACUUAAAGCAAAAAUUCUGUAUUUUUCUGCUCAUUAGUGAUGAAAUUUGGAAAAAGAAAAUAGAAGAGGUACCCUUAUUUAUAUGGAAAACAUGUAUAGGGGGAGUUGUUCUUGCCUAAGUGUAAGUAAAAAUUUGCUUUGGAGUCUACUUAUUUAUCACUAUUAGCUGUUAGGAUAAUUUCCCCCCACAAAGUGGUAGGGCACUGAGAUCCGCCCUGGUGGAAUAGGUUUAUGGUUGCUUGAGGAAUGCCUAAGCUUCAAGAGGAGGCUUAAUUUUUAAUUGUUUGCCCAAUAGCAGAGAUCUGACAGUGUAUGUGCAGUGCAGUCGUGCAGAGGCAUCAUUUAGUUCAAAUUUAAAGAAAAACAAAUUUUUUAAUAUAAGCUCUAUGGCUUAAAUUUCUUUUCUCCUGCCCCUUUCUUUUAUGUUGUUAACCUUUGAUUGCAACUAAUUUUUUCUUCACCGAUGCUUUCAGGUUUCUGUUGAGGAUUCACCAAGGGAAGUAUUUGCCCACGUUUCAGCCUCCAGAUGCUGGGAAAUGGUAAGAGAUAGAGUUAAUCAGGAGAUCGCAAAGCAACACAAGUUGGGAAAACCAAAGCUUCCACCUCUGCAGCCCCCAGGAAGCCUUGACGGUGUGGAAAUGUUUGGUUUGACUUCGCCAGCUAUUGUGCAGGUAAAAGCUUCUGUGGGAACUGUUAUUAUGUGGAAACUGGAUAAUGUUUGAUCUUAAACCGAAUAUUGUAAUUUUGUUUGACUGCUUUCUGCUUAACCUGAGAGCUGUUCUGGUUAGCAGAUGAAUUUGAAUCAUAAAUUAGGCAGCAGACUUACAGCUAAUCUUGAGCAUUAGAUUCCACCCAUAAGAUUGGAUGGUUUUCGUGAAGUGAUUUUAUUGCUUUGUGUCCUUCCCUGUUCUUUGUUUUAUAAUUAUUGUAGUUUCUNCAUGGAAAACCUAAAUAAAGGGAUUUGUUCUUGCCCAAGUGCAAGUAAAUUUGCUUUGGAGUCUACUUAAUCAUCACUGUUAGCUGUUAAAUUAUUUUUUU